UGAGGAAUAUUGGGCAAUGGACGCAAGUCUGACCCAGCCAUGCCGCGUGCAGGAUGAAGGCCCUAUGGGUUGUAAACUGCUUUUUUACGGGACGAAACUCCUGAUCGUGAUCGGGAUUGACGGUACCGUAUGAAUAAGCAUCGGCUAACUCCGUGCCAGCAGCCGCGGUAAUACGGAGGAUGCAAGCGUUAUCCGGAUUCAUUGGGUUUAAAGGGUGCGUAGGCGGAAUAAUAAGUCAGGGGUGAAAUCUUGCGGCUUAACCGUAAAAUUGCCUUUGAUACUGUUAUUCUUGAGUGCAGUUGAGGUAGGCGGAAUGUGUAAUGUAGCGGUGAAAUGCUUAGAUAUUACACAGAACACCGAUUGCGUAGGCAGCUUACUAAACUGUAACUGACGCUGAGGCACGAAAGCGUGGGGAUCAAACAGGAUUAGAUAACCCUGGUAGUCCACGCUGUAAACGAUGAUCACUCGCUGUUGGCGAUAC
rnacentral:rRNA from 1 species